AGUCGCACACUAUGGACCCGAAGCGGAGUGAUCUACCCAUGGCCAGGGUGAAGCGACGGUAAGACGUCGUGGAGGCCCGAACCCACUUAGGUUGAAAACUGAGGGGAUGAGCUGUGGGUAGGGGUGAAAGGCCAAUCAAACUCCGUGAUAGCUGGUUCUCCCCGAAAUGCAUUUAGGUGCAGCGUCACGUGUUUCACACCGGAGGUAGAGCUACUGGAUGGCCUAGGGGGCCCACAAGCUUACCGAAGUCAGCCAAACUCCGAAUGCCGGUGUGUGAGAGCGUGGCAGUGAGACUGCGGGGGAUAAGCUUCGUAGUCGAGAGGGAAACAGCCCAGAUCGCCGGCUAAGGCCCCUAAGCGUGUACUAAGUGGAAAAGGAUGUGGGGUCGCGAAGACAACCAGGAGGUUGGCUUAGAAGCAGCCACCCUUGAAAGAGUGCGUAAUAGCUCACUGGUCAAGUGAUCCUGCGCCGACAAUGUAGCGGGGCUCAAGUACACCGCCGAAGCCGCGGCAUUCACACAUUAUUCUGCUUUCGAGCCAGGAGUGUGGAUGGGUAGGGGAGCGUCCUGUGGCCAGGGAAGCGGCGGAGUGAUCCAGCCGUGGAGGCCAUGGGAGUGAGAAUGCAGGCAUGAGUAGCGAAAGACGAGUGAGAAACUCGUCCGCCGAAUGACCAAGGGUUCCUGGGCCAGGUUAAUCCGCCCAGGGUGAGUCGGGACCUAAGGCGAGGCCGACAGGCGUAGUCGAUGGACAACGGGUUGAUAUUCCCGUACCCGUGUAUCCGCGCCCAAUGGCGAAUCAGUUGUGCUAAGUAUCCUGAAGCGGUCUUAUCUUCCUUCGGGGAGAGGGAACGUGGAUGCAUAUGACCCUGGCUGUAGUAGUCAAGCGAUGGGGUGACGCAGGAAGGUAGCUGGGCCCGGUAAUGGUUGUCCGGGUGUAAGCCUGUAGGGCGUUGUGUAGGCAAAUCCGCACAACAUUAAGCCUGAGAGGUGAUGCGUAGCCGAUUGAGGCGAAUUCAGUGAUCCUAUGCUGCCGAGAAAAGCCUCUAGCGAGCUGGUACAUGGCCCGUACCCCAAACCGACACAGGUGGUCAGGUAGAGAAUACUAAGGCGAUCGAGAUAACUGUGGUUAAGGAACUCGGCAAAAUACCUCCGUAACUUCGGGAGAAGGAGGGCCUUGUCUGGUGACGGAACUUGCUUCCCGAGCUGGGUGAGGUCGCAGAGACCAGUGAGAAGCGACUGUUUACUAAAAACACAGGUCCGUGCGAAGUCGUAAGACGAUGUAUACGGACUGACGCCUGCCCGGUGCCGGAAGGUUAAGAGGACCGGUUAGCCUGUAAGGGCGAAGCUGAGAAUUUAAGCCCCGGUAAACGGCGGUGGUAACUAUAACCAUCCUAAGGUAGCGAAAUUCCUUGUCGGGUAAGUUCCGACCUGCACGAAUGGCGUAACGACUUCUCAGCUGUCUCAACCACAGACUCGGCGAAAUUGCAUUACGAGUAAAGAUGCUCGUUACGCGCGGCAGGACGAAAAGACCCCGGGACCUUCACUAUAGCUUGGUAUUGGUGUUCGGUACGGUUUGUGUAGGAUAGGUGGGAGACUGUGAAGCGGGUACGCCAGUAUUCGUGGAGUCAUCGUUGAAAUACCACUCUGAUCGUAUUGGACUUCUAACCUCGGACCCUGAUCGGGUUCAGGGACAGUGCCUGGUGGGUAGUUUAACUGGGGCGGUUGCCUCCCAAAAUGUAACGGAGGCGCCCAAAGGUUCCCUCAGCCUGGUUGGCAAUCAGGUGUCGAGUGCAAGUGCACAAGGGAGCUUGACUGUGAGACCGACAGGUCGAGCAGGGACGAAAGUCGGGACUAGUGAUCCGGCACCGGCAAGUGGAAGCGGUGUCGCUCAACGGAUAAAAGGUACCCCGGGGAUAACAGGCUGAUCUUCCCCAAGAGUCCAUAUCGACGGGAUGGUUUGGCACCUCGAUGUCGGCUCGUCGCAUCCUGGGGCUGGAGUAGGUCCCAAGGGUUGGGCUGUUCGCCCAUUAAAGCGGCACGCGAGCUGGGUUUAGAACGUCGUGAGACAGUUCGGUCUCUAUCCGCCGCGCGCGUCAGAAACUUGAGGAAGGCUGUCCCUAGUACGAGAGGACCGGGACGGACGAACCUCUGGUGUGCCAGUUGUCCUGCCAAGGGCACGGCUGGUUUGCUACGUUCGGAAGGGAUAACCGCUGAAAGCAUCUAAGCGGGAAGCCUGUUCCAAGAUGAGGUUUCUCACCUACUUGAUAGGUUAAGGCCCCCAACAGACCAUUGGGUUGAUAGGCCGGAACUGGAAGCCCGGUAACGGGUGCAGGUGACCGGUACUAAUAGGCCGAGGACUUACCAACAA
rnacentral:rRNA from 1 species